rnacentral:rRNA from 1 species
AGUGAACGCUGGCGGUAGGCCUAACACAUGCAAGUCGAACGGCAGCACAGUAAGAGCUUGCUCUUACGGGUGGCGAGUGGCGGACGGGUGAGGAAUACAUCGGAAUCUACUUUUUCGUGGGGGAUAACGUAGGGAAACUUACGCUAAUACCGCAUACGACCUACGGGUGAAAGCAGGGGAUCUUCGGACCUUGCGCGAUUGAAUGAGCCGAUGUCGGAUUAGCUAGUUGGCGGGGUAAGGGCCCACCAAGGCGACGAUCCGUAGCUGGUCUGAGAGGAUGAUCAGCCACACUGGAACUGAGACACGGUCCAGACUCCUACGGGAGGCAGCAGUGGGGAAUAUUGGACAAUGGGCGCAAGCCUGAUCCAGCCAUACCGCGUGGGUGAAGAAGGCCUUCGGGUUGUAAAGCCCUUUUGUUGGGAAAGAAAAGCAGCAGGUUAAUACCCCGCUGUUCUGACGGUACCCAAAGAAUAAGCACCGGCUAACUUUGUG